rnacentral:tRNA from 1 species
GUUGUGACUCAGUGGUAGAGGGCUUGCCUAACAUGCAUGAGGCACUGGGUUCCAUCCCCGGCAUCACA